UCCUUGUGUCCGCAGCAAGGAGAGUGAGUCAGAACGGCACUGUUCCUCUGUGGGUGCAUAAACGAGGAGGUUGUCCACGUACUGAAUGAGAGCAGAGCCCUUAGUUUGACAGAACACAUGACUUGAAAGGUGGACGGCACAGACCUGAUACGAAGACAAGCACAGAAGGUCCGAUACGAAGGCCUGAGCAAUGAAGAGAGCUGUGUGGAGCUGAGUCUGCCGAGCCGAAGCAGACGUGGGCAGACGAGAAUACGGCCAGCAAAAAUACUUUGUUUUAGUGCCCAACAGGCCAUCUGGGGACUUUGAACUGCAAAACAUCCCACCAGCAUAACGGUGUUAAAACUCCUAUCAACAUCCUGACAUCCUGGGUACCCUGGGUAUGGACAGCCAAAGAGAGGUUCAAUGGGCCCUGUGAUCGUGUCUGAAUUAAGGUAAGAAUC